GGUGGGAAAUGGGUGGGGAGGGAAUGGUUGCAGGGUGGGGGGAGGGAAUUUGGGGUGGGAACUCUUUGGGUGGGAACUUGGGGUGGGAAUUCUUGGGGUGCUGGGAUCUUUGUGAGGUUGGAAAUGAAAUGGCUGUACUGUGAUAUUGUUGAGGUGGGGGGAGGGAAUUUGGGGUGGGAAUUCUUGAGGUGGGAACUCUUGGGGCACUGGGAUCUUUCUGAGGUUGGAAAUGAAAUGGCUGUACUCUGAUGUUGUUGGGGUGGGAAUUUGGGGGGUGGGGAACUGCUGGGGCGAGAAAUGGCUGCCGUGGGAGAUGGUUGGCAUCAAAAAUGAUUGGACUCCGUAACUGCUGGCAUUGAAGAUGGGGGGAGGGGGAGGGAAUUCUGUGGGGUGGCAAUUCUGGGGGAGAAAUUGUACUCUGAUCACGUUACACUCCCAAGUUGUUGGAAUUUGGAGGAAGGAAUUGUUGGGGUGGGAAUGUGGGGGGCUGGGAGGUAUUUUGCAGAGGGAGG
rnacentral:lncRNA from 1 species